rnacentral:lncRNA from 1 species
UCCCAGACAGUGACGAGGAUGAGGAUGAAGAGACAGCCAUCCGGAGAGUCCUGCAGCAGCUCACUGAAGAAGCAGCUCUGGAUGAGGCAAGUGGCUUUAACAUCCCUGAGGAACCAGCUCCAGCAUCCCAGGCUCAACCCCACAAGGCCAAGACUGAGGCUGAGGAAGAAGAACUCCCCUGGUGCUGUAUCUGCAAUGAGGAUGCUACUCUGCGCUGUGCUGGCUGUGAUGGAGACCUCUACUGUGCCCGGUGCUUCCGGUAGGUGCUGGUUGAGAGGAGAAUGUUCUUGAUUUGAGGGCUGCCAAGAUGUCUGCCAUUCACCCCUUUGUUCUGCAGGGAGGGCCACGAUAACUUUGAUCUUAAAGAACAUCAGACUUCUCCCUUCCACCCCCGACCGCCUUGCCGAGAACACUGAGAAUAGCCUAAUGAUCUCCUGAGGUGGCAGUACCACAGGCAACCAUCAGGCUGGGAAGACACCUGGGCUAAGUCUCCAGGCAUCCAGGGGGAUAGCAGACCCUGCUUUACUGAUGUGAGCUUCACAGCCCCUGGGAGGGAGGAAGAUAAUGGCCCUUAGAGGGAGCAGAUGAAGGAAGGAGUCAGAGCCCUCCUCUAAGGCUGACCUCAAACAGGCAGAUGGGGAAGCCCAGACUGAAGCUGUGGCUGAUACUUGAAACCUGGUUCCAGUGCCCAACCCUGGGCCUGUAGAGGAUCUAAUAAAAUGUUGUCAUUGGUCCCAGAUGGUUUUCCUGUCUUGGGGAUUGAGACCAGGCCUUUGCACAUGCUAGAGAUGAUGCUACAUUCCACACUUGCAAUUGUGUUUGUUACUGGCACUACUGGGCAUUGAACCCACAUCCUCAGACAUGCUUAGUGUGUGCUCUUCC